rnacentral:misc_RNA from 1 species
GGUUAGUAGGCUGUAGAAAAACCCAAUUGAAAUCAAUUGAUAAGCAGUAAGUAAAACACUUGAAACCUAAAAGAAAAGAUAAAGAGAGAGCAUAUUCAUCUUUGAGCCCUUAUCACACUAAUUAUAAGGCCAUUUUUCAGUUCUCUUUCUUUUUCCACCUUCAGAAAAAUAAUAGAAACAAAUAAGACAGCGUCUGUCAGACUCAAAUCUAACUAAAUCACAUUCUAAUAUUCUUAGCCAACAUUCGGUCUUGUAUUGCAUGCCUAAUUCUCGUACCACAUUCAUUUUGCUUUUAGCAUUCAAUGUAGUUGUUCAAGGCAUCUACCACCUGACCCAAACACCAAGGGCAGAGUACAUAACUUUCCACUAGUGGCAAGUAAAUGAGCUUGAGAACCUUAACUAGAACAAAAAAUAAAAAAUCAACUCAACUCAACCCAACUCAACU